UUUAAAUAAAUGUAGCUAAAGAAAUGCAAACAAACUGUGUUCUUGUGACAGGCAGAGAAAGAUAUUUUAACAUUUUGCAGAAUUUGGUGUAAUGUGUUGCAAAGUCAUGCAUUAAUGUACUGAAUUCAGUUACAAUUAUGUCAUUACUUGCAUUACAAAGGUUCUUCAGUUAUCUGCAUGUCAGGAAGAUGGAAAAAAAAAAGGCUUUUUCCUUCUUCAGCUACAAUCAGCUGAUUUCAGUUCAUGUGCAGGGAGGAGGAAACAUUUUGGAGCCGCUUUUGAGGAGCAGCGAUAUGGAUGUUACUCACAAUGAUAAUGAAAUUCAUACCGUCUCCAGGACUCAACGACUCAUUAAACUCCUAAAAAACCUUCAACUCUUUGCUAGCAUGAACAGCAUGCUAACGCUAAGCUAGCCAAGAUCCCAGACUGACGAUAAAGCUGAAUGCCGACCCCCGCCCGACAGCCAGACCCUGCACUUCAACAGGUGGCGCUGCGGCUGCCAUGUGGCGGCGUGUUGAGGUGGUAGGAGAACCUCAUGGUGCUGAACUGACUGGAGAAGGAGGGAGCAGGAGGAGCAGGGAGGCUGAGCAGAGUGCUGCGAGGUCGGUUCAGCUGCAUGCCUGCACAGGUACGUCACUGCACACCUGUACGCAGGUCAGGGUUUGUUCAGUUCAUUCUCCACUCUCAUGAGAUUUUUCCUUCUCUUUUACCUUUUUUAAAUAUGGGUGUUUGUUUUUGAAUCAGUCACUUUCUGCUUGUUCAGAGUCAGUUUUGCUCUCAGAGAAAUCCACACAGGCGCGCUCGGCAUCGGUUAUCUGCUUCACUCUAUUCUCCAUUCAGGAAAAUGAACUUCAGCUGCGACUCUGGUGGUUCGCUCUCUGGCUGAAGCCAUGUGGAGGUCAAAAAUGUCUCACCCUCCUUCAUCCUCCCCCUCUCGCUCCCAUCUUUUCCUCUUUGUCACUCUUUCAGGAAUCUAAACGUUACCAGUCUCCGUGCCUCCAUCUCCACGUCACGUAUCCGCAGAAACAAUCACAGGAAUCUGGCUGAUGUGGUUUUCAGAUUAAAAACCAUCCCCGGGUGUGCCGACUGAGGGUUUCUGUCAGUCCAGCUCCUCCGAGAUAAAGCUGAGGAACAACUUUUCAGGAUCCAGAAUCCUGAAAUCAAACACGUCUGUAGGAGCUUUAGAGCAGAAUGUGCAGACUCAGCUCUCCUCCUGCUCGAGUGCCUCCACUUUUUCUGAUUUGUGCUCCUCCUGCUGCUUCGGUUUGACUCCCUCUGAAGACUUUUCCCUCUUUCUCUUCAGCGUCAGUUUGUCCAAACAGACAGACAGACGGUCUGUCGGUUGGCCGUCUCUCAGCAGCUCCAGGCUUUUGUGUGAAAGUCUGAUCUGAGCUGCAGACCGACACCACAACUCCUCCUCCUCCUCCUCCGUCCAGACAUCUGAUCCCAGAGCAGCUCCCCUCCUCCUCCCUCUCUCCUCUCCCUGUGGUCUGGUUCUCAUUUUCUCUGUUUUCUGAGGCUGAAAUUUGAAGCAAAAGGAAAACUUUGGAGAAAAAUUCCAGCAGGAUAUUUUAAAUUUUUCCCUUUUACCACCACCAGAGUCUGAACUCCACUUAUUCUCCCCCACUCAUGACUCUGCUUUUUCUAACAGCAGCACAUAUUUAAGUUUCAGGAUGAUGUGAGCAGCAGCUUUCAACCACCAGGGGGCUCCAACCCUUCAUUCCACAUGUCCCUCCCGCGCUCAGAGCCUCAGUCUGAGAUCGUAACAAAGGUCACAUUUCAGUGGUUUUAAGAUCCGUCCACAGACGGGAGCAGACUCCCAACAUGUCAAAACAUUUUCUUCAGGCAGAGCAAAGAUCUGCUGCCACCUGCUGGGACAUGCUGACAUAUUUAAAUAUCCUGCUUAUUAUUUUGCUUCAUCAGCUUUCCUCAGCAUAUGCUGCUCUGGCUCUUUUCUCAUGCUCCGUCUGAAAGCCUGUUUUAGCUCCCAUCACUUGAAAGGACUGCAUAUGAUCCUUUUCAACUCAUUAACUGGGAACUUGAAGCUUUAAGUGCUUUCUACCCAUCAUGCACACACAUGAGUUCCAUCAUCAGUGUCGUGCACGUGGAGUCAAACCAUCGACCAUCUCCAUGAAAAUUGCCAGAAGAAGGUGGAUCACCCUAUGAUGUCCAUUCACUCUAAACUAUGACCGGCUAAUGUCAGGGGUUCUCCUGUGUGACCAACAGUAGCUGUUACUGUGUCUCUGUAUGGAUACCGGUGCAGUGUGUGAAUUCCAGCGAAGUGUUGUUUCACAUCAAAUGUGGCAAACAGUGCAAAGUCUAACCGUGAGUUUCAGGCUAUUUGUGUGAACAUCUGCAAAAAGUCUUUGAGCAAACAAAUGAACUGAAUUCUUCUGUAGUGAAGGUGACAACAUAAUACACAUUAACCAGUCAAUAUCCUGAAGAUCUUCCACAACUACCCAGCUGAUUCAAGAGGCCUUCAGCCUGACACACAGCCAGGACACACUAGAGAGAUCAUCUCUUGGCUGGUGUGGUAAUGCCCGGUGUUGCCAAAAAGAACUGGAAAAGAUGGGUGGAAGACGAAGGCCUGGCCAACAAGGACCCAGAAAAGUGGCAGAAAAUAGACGAGAUGAGAAGUUCGUUCAGGAGAGAGGAAGAGUAGAGCUGGC